GUAAAAAGUAUCCAAUAUUUUCAUAAUUCUAGUGAAGUUAUUUUAAAUAUGCUUCAUAUACUUGAUGGGCUAACUAUUGACCUAUACAUUUUAAAGGGAUGAAAAUUGUUGACAACCAAAAAAUACAUGGUUUCAUAUUAUAGAUUUAAUUAACAAACGCAACAAAAGGAAAAUAACUACAUAACACAAUAAGACAAAAUGUUAUAGAGAUCACAGAAGUUUACAAAAAUAUAC